UGGGGAAUCUUGGACAAUGGGCGCAAGCCUGAUCCAGCCAUGCCGCGUGGAUGAUGAAGGCCUUAGGGUUGUAAAAUCCUUUCGUGGGGGACGAUAAUGACGGUACCCCAAGAAGAAGCUCCGGCUAACUUCGUGCCAGCAGCCGCGGUAAUACGAAGGGGGCUAGCGUUGUUCGGAUUUACUGGGCGUAAAGCGCGUGUAGGCGGGUCGUUAAGUUGGGGGUGAAAUCCCGAGGCUCAACCUCGGAACUGCCUUCAAAACUGGCGACCUGGACUCAAGUAGAGGCAAGUGGAAUUGCGAGUGUAGAGGUGAAAUUCGUAGAUAUUCGCAGGAACACCAGUGGCGAAGGCGACUUGCUGGACUUGUAGUGACGCUGAGACGCGAAAGCGUGGGGAGCAAACAGGAUUAGAUACCCCUGUAGUCCCUGAGCGGGCUGGCAAGGCGCAU
rnacentral:rRNA from 1 species